GUGGUAAGUGUGGUGAUAAUGAUUUGCACAGCUAAGGUAGUUCAAGGAAACCAUCGAACACUGAAAAUAUACACAAAAAUGUUUUUUUUUGCUUACUCUGUGAGAGUAUGUAUAAUAGUUUUUGUACUUAUUCUUAUUUCUGUUUUCCCAAGUGAACAUGUAUCAUUGUGAUACACACCACCACACUUUUUUCUUUCUUUUUUUUAAGAUCCUUCUUACAUUUUAAGAUAGAAACUUCAGGCCCUUCCUUUCCCAAUGCUUCUCCAGUCUUACAGUCACUUUUGGUCAAGGGUUCUUUUGUCGGUGGUCCUUGAGCCUAGAACUAAACAGCUAUUUCUAGAUCUGACUCCUAAUGAUACAGAGAUGGAUAAAAGAGAAAAAAAAUAUAUCGGGAAUUCCCCACAGUCCAGUGGUCAGGACUCCGUGCUUUCACGGCUGAGGGCCCAGGUUCAAUCUCUGGUUUGGGGAACUAAGAUUCCACAAGCUGUGUGGCGCAGCCAAAAAAAAAAAAAACACAAUUAAAAACAAAAAAGGAAGAAAAAAUAUCAUACGACA